CAGUCGCCACGGUAAUGCGUAGGUGGCAAGCGUUGUCCGGAAUUAUUGGGCGUAAAGCGCGCGCAGGUGGUUUAAUAAGUCUGAUGUGAAAGCCCACGGCUCAACCGUGGAGGGUCAUUGGAAACUGUUAAACUUGAGUGCAGGAGAGAAAAGUGGAAUUCCUAGUGUAGCGGUGAAAUGCGUAGAGAUUAGGAGGAACACCAGUGGCGAAGGCGGCUUUUUGGCCUGUAACUGACACUGAGGCGCGAAAGCGUGGGGAGCAAACAGGAUUAGAUACCCGCGUAGUCCCUGUCUCUUAUAC
rnacentral:rRNA from 1 species